rnacentral:rRNA from 1 species
UACGUAGGGUGCAAGCGUUAUCCGGAAUUACUGGGCGUAAAGCGUGCGCAGGCGGUUUUGUAAGUCUGACGUGAAAUCCCCGGGCUCAACCUGGGAAUUGCGUUGGAGACUGCAAGGCUGGAGUCUGGCAGAGGGGGGUAGAAUUCCACGUGUAGCAGUGAAAUGCGUAGAGAUGUGGAGGAACACCGAUGGCGAAGGCAGCCCCCUGGGUCAAGAUUGACGCUCAUGCACGAAAGCGUGGGGAGCAAACAGG